AGAGUUUGAUCAUGGCUCAGAACGAACGCUGGCGGCAGGCUUAACACAUGCAAGUCGAACGGUUGUAGCAAUACAGCAGUGGCAGACGGGUGAGUAACACGUGGGAACCUUCCUAGGGGUACGGAACAACUCAGGGAAACUUGAGCUAAUACCGUAUACGUCCGUGAGGAGAAAGAUUUAUCGCCCCUAGACGGGCCCGCGUAGGAUUAGGUAGUUGGUGAGGUAACGGCUCACCAAGCCUACGAUCCUUAGCUGAUCUGAGAGGAUGAUCAGCCACACUGGGACUGAGACACGGCCCAGACUCCUACGGGAGGCAGCAGUGGGGAAUCUUGGACAAUGGGCGCAAGCCUGAUCCAGCCAUGCCGCGUGAGUGAAGAAGGCCUUCGGGUUGUAAAGCUCUUUUACCAGGGACGAUAAUGACGGUACCUGAGAAUAGCC
rnacentral:rRNA from 1 species